UGGGGAAUAUUGGACAAUGGGCGAAAGCCUGAUCCAGCCAUGCCGCGUGUGUGAAGAAGGUCUUCGGAUUGUAAAGCACUUUAAGUUGGGAGGAAGGGCAUUAACCUAAUACGUUAGUGUUUUGACGUUACCGACAGAAUAAGCACCGGCUAACUCUGUGCCAGCAGACGCGGUAAUACAGAGGGUGCAAGCGUUAAUCGGAAUUACUGGGCGUAAAGCGCGCGUAGGUGGUUUGUUAAGUUGGAUGUGAAAUCCCCGGGCUCAACCUGGGAACUGCAUUCAAAACUGACUGACUAGAGUAUGGUAGAGGGUGGUGGAAUUUCCUGUGUAGCGGUGAAAUGCGUAGAUAUAGGAAGGAACACCAGUGGCGAAGGCGACCACCUGGACUAAUACUGAUACUGAGGUGCGAAAGCGUGGGGAGCAAACA
rnacentral:rRNA from 1 species